rnacentral:rRNA from 1 species
CAACAAUAUAUAGUUGUUGCAGUUAAAAGCUCGUAGUUGAAUUUCUGGACUCGCCGAGAGGCGGCCUUUGGCCGACCACUCCGCAAGUUCAUCCUCGCCCUUCGGGGCGUCAUUUACUGUGAAAAAAUUAGAGUGUUUAAAGCAGGCUUUAGGCUUGAAUACAUUAGCAUGGAAUAAUGAGAUAGGACCAGGUCGUAUUUUGUUGGUUGCGCGAUUCGGUAAUGAUUAAUAGGGACAGUUGGGGGUAUUCAUAUUUAAUUGUCAGAGGUGAAAUUCUUAGAUUUAUUAAAGAUGAACUACUGCGAAAGCAUUUACCAAGGAUGUUUUCAUUAAUCAAGAACGAAAGUCAGGGGAUCGAAGAGGAUUAGAUACCCUCGUAGUCUUGACCAUAAACUAUGCCGACUCAGGAUUGGCACCCUUUUUUAACAGGGUGUCAGCACUGUAUGAAAAAUCAAAGUCUUUGGGUUCCGGGGGGAGUAUGGUCGCAAGGCUGAACUCAGGGGAAAAUGGGACGG